AACGAACGCUGGCGGCGUGCCUAACACAUGCAAGUCGAGCGCGAAAGGGGUAACCCGAGUAGAGCGGCGCACGGGUGCGUAACACGUGGGUAAUCUGCCUCGAGGAGCCGGAUAACCAUCCGAAAGGAUGGCUAAUACGGCAUAAGCCCCCGGAGUCUUCGGACUCCGAGGGAAAAGGGUGGCCUCUGUUUACAAGCUACCGCCUUGAGAUGAGCCCGCGGCCCAUCAGCUAGUUGGCGGGGUAAUGGCCCACCAAGGCAACGACGGGUAGCUGGUCUGAGAGGACGAUCAGCCACACUGGAACUGAGACACGGUCCAGACUCCUACGGGAGGCAGCAGUGGGGAAUUUUGCGCAAUGGGCGAAAGCCUGACGCAGCAACGCCGCGUGUGUGAUGAAGGUCUUCGGAUUGUAAAGCACUUUCGACCGGGACGAAAAAGCGGGUGCUAAUCAGCCCGCCUUGACGGUACCGGGAGAAGAAGCACCGGCUAACUCUGUGCCAGCCGCCGCGGUAA
rnacentral:rRNA from 1 species